rnacentral:rRNA from 1 species
GACGAACGCUGGCGGCGUGCCUAAUACAUGCAAGUCGAGCGGAUGAAAGAGGAGCUUGCUCCUCCUGAUUCAGCGGCGGACGGGUGAGUAACACGUGGGCAACCUGCCCUGUAGAUUGGGAUAACUCCGGGAAACCGGGGCUAAUACCGAAUAAUCCUUCGGACCUCAUGGUCCGAUGUUGAAAGACGGCAUCUCGCUGUCACUACAGGAUGGGCCCGCGGCGCAUUAGCUAGUUGGUGAGGUAACGGCUCACCAAGGCGACGAUGCGUAGCCGACCUGAGAGGGUGGUCGGCCACACUGGGACUGAGACACGGCCCAGACUCCUACGGGAGGCAGCAGUAGGGAAUCUUCCACAAUGGACGAAAGUCUGAUGGAGCAACGCCGCGUGAGUGAAGAAGGUUCUCGGAUCGUAAAACUCUGUUGUCAGAGAAGAACAAGUUGGAGAGUAACUGCUCCAGCCUUGACGGUAUCUGACCAGAAAGCCACGGCUAACUACGUGCCAGCCGCCGCAGUAACAC